rnacentral:rRNA from 1 species
AUUGAACGCUGGCGGCAGGCCUAACACAUGCAAGUCGAACGAGUGGCGGACGGGUGAGUAAUGUCUGGGAAACUGCCUGAUGGGGGGGGAUAACUACUGGAAACGGUAGCUAAUACCGCAUACCAUCAGAUGUGUCCAGGUGGGAUUAGAUAGUUGGUGGGGUAACGGCUCACCAAGGCGACGAUCCCUAGCUGGUCUGAGAGGAUGACCGUCCACACUGGAACUGAGACACGGUCAGGACUCCUACGGGAGGCAGCAGUGGGGAAAAUUGCACAAUGGGCGCAAGCCUGAUGAAGCCAUGCCGCGUGUAUGAAGAAGGCCUUCGGGUUGUAAAGUACUUUCAGCGGGGAGGCGUUACCCGCAGAAGAAGCACCGGCGAACUCCGUGCCAGCCGCCGCGGUAAUUC